ACCCCGGCCUCAGCUGAACCACCGCCCAGAGUGUCGUACCAAGUGACCCGACAGGGCGAGCGUCUGAACGGCUGCUGGGUCCUGUGCUGUCGGGAGGAAGUGGGCGAAGGCGAAUAUGCUAGGCCAGAUUGUUGAGCAGAUAAGCUCAGGGUGGUGUUGGGAAGGCCCCUGGGAUCGGUCCCCGGGGUCCGUUGGCUGCUUCCAGAAGCAUCCGCGGUAACCAGGGAGGUGAAUGAGUGAGGGGUCCUGGGAAAACUGAGCAAAAGCUCAGUCAGCAGGGUGGCUGGCUUGUUGAGAUCGCUGAGACCAGCCAGAGUUUGACAUAGGCGUGCUGAGAAAGGUAGAUAGCUGCCCUUCCAGUGCUUAGAUGAAAUUUAAGUAUUUAGGAACUUAGAUAUAAAAAGCACAGGGUUUGCCUGGGAGUAGUGGCACAUGAGUUAACUAGUCUAUGUAGUGCCAGGACAGCCUAUGCUAUAUAAUAGACCCUGUCUCAAAAGGCUGGGAGAGCUUGUUGUUGUACCCCUGUGAUCCCUGUCUUGGAGACCAGAAGGAUUAGAAGAUACAGUUAAUCCUUGGCUGCAUAUGGAUGAGAAUUUCUUGAAGUCGGUCAUGCGUAUAAACCAAGUGUGGUAGUGAACGCUUGUCAUCCCAGCAUUCUGCAGGCUGAGACAGGAGAAUCUUGAGGGCUUCAGAAAUUCACCAGCAUUGCUAAGAAACCGUCUCCCCAGCCCCCAGCCUGGCAUCUCCCCACCUCUGAAGAAGGGAAGAGUUCAGCCCUCUAGAGUUACAGCCUAAAGAGCUUGAUUCCUCCAAGGCUGAUGAGCUCUGGUGACCAGUGCUGGCCAGACUAUAAUAAUUAAGAACUCAGAGAUAGCGGACAAUGGUGGCACACACCUUUAAUUCCAGCAGAGACAGAUGCAUCUCUAAGUUCAAGACCAGCCUGGUCUUCAAAGUGAGUUCCAGGACAGCCAGGGCUACACAGAGAAAUCCUGUCUCUGGGAGGAUGGGGGAACCCCUAAAGAUGACUUUGCUGAGCUGGAUUCAGCCCAUCUGGUAUUUUCUUGCUGUGUGAAUAAAACUUCUGGGUUUGACUUGU
ensembl:lincRNA 4933433G15Rik RIKEN cDNA 4933433G15 gene